CUUAAUCUCGUCGAAUUCACAAGAAGAUGAGAUUAUAACCCUAUACGAUUGAUUGACGAGCUUUUUAAUUAAUGGAGAAGGUGGAAUUAAUAUAAAACAAUUAUUCCCGUCCAAGUUACUCGCACAAAAAUUUGUCUAAAUCUUUCCAAAAUCAAAGAAACAAGCAAAUGGGUACUUUCCCUGCUCUAACAAGAUCACUGGGUCAUUACUGUAUUAAAAAGUCGAGAUCCUUUUACUUUCCGAAUCCUCACGUUUACAGCAACGGUCACCAGUACCAAACCCAUAGAACCCUCCUCAUCUUGGACUCCCUGUCCUCUGAAUCAGUCAGGCUUCGAAGAUUGUCAGAUUCGGAUUCUGGGAUUGUCGAGGUUAAUUUGGAUAGGCCUGCAGCGAAAAAUUCAAUUGGCAAGGAAAUGUUAAGAGGGUUACGCAAUGCUUUUGAAACAAUUGAAAGCGAUGUCUCUGCUCAGGUUGUUUUGAUUUGCAGUUCGGUUCCGAAGGUUUUCUGUGCUGGUGCUGAUUUGAAGGAGCGCAAGACAAUGGCUCCAUCUGAAGUUCAAGAUUUUGUGAACUCAUUGCGAUCUACAUUCUCAUUCAUAGAGGCACUCUAUGUUCCUACUGUUGCUGUUAUUGAAGGAGCAGCAUUAGGUGGUGGACUUGAAAUGGCUUUAUCGUGUGAUCUUCGCAUAUGUGGAGAAGAUGCAGUAUUGGGCUUGCCAGAAACAGGACUUGCCAUAAUUCCUGGUGCAGGUGGGACACAAAGACUUCCUAGGUUGGUUGGAAAAUCACUAGCAAAGGAACUUAUAUUUACUGGCCGCAAGAUUGAUGGCAGAGAGGCCAUGUCAAUGGGGCUUGUCAAUUACUCUGUUCCUGCUGGUGAAGCUCAUUCAAAAGCACUUGAAAUUGCUCGGGAGAUUAUUCAGAAGGGUCCAGUAGCAAUUAGGAUGGCAAAAAAGGCCAUCAAUGAGGGACUUGAGAUAGAUUUACCAUCAGCUUUGGAAUUGGAAGAAGAGUGCUAUGAACAGCUCUUGAACACGAAAGAUCGUUUGGAAGGCUUGGCAGCAUUUGCUGAAAAGCGGAAACCAAGGUAUCUGAAACUAUUUGAUAUGGAGUAUUCUCCGCUUCAGAUUUGAGAUAAAGGUCUUUGACCACAGUUUGUCUUUUAGAACCAGCCGAGUUGUUAGAAAGCAGAAAAGUUUUGAGGUUCCUUGUCAAAGAAAUCUUUGACUGCACUGGAAAGUGAGUUUAUUGACUACAGGAUCUUUGACAACACUGAAAAGAGAUGGUUGUUCUCUGUAAGAUGAUUAGCCUUUUUCAAUUUGAAACGAGGAGGAUGAAAUAUUACAAACCAUGAUUUAACUUCAGUUGAAUAUAAAGGCAUUACAACUAACAACGUCAAUUUAUAUAUAUAAUCUAGUUUGUAUUGGUA